rnacentral:rRNA from 1 species
GGCACCACGAGAGAAUUCCUGUCUCAAUCUUAGUAUUCGAAUUUCAUUUAGAUGUGCAAAAGCAUCUAUAAACUUAAAAGACGAUCAGACCCUAUGGAGCUUUAAACUAUCUUUAUAUUUCAAAUAUACUAAAUAUUAGACGUAAAGAAGUUUUUCGUUGGGGCGACGAGGAGUUACUAAAAAACCCUCCCUUAAUUAAAUAUAAAUAAAUAAAAUAUUGAUCCUAAAAGGUAGAUUAAAAGACCAAGUUACCCUAGGGAUAACAGCGUUAUUUCUUUAGAGAGUUCAAAUCGAUAAAGAAGUUUGCGACCUCGAUGUUGGAUCAAAGUUUCUUUAAGGUGUAGCAGCUUUAAAAGAGGGUCUGUUCGACCUUUAAAUCUUCACGUGAUCUGAGU